UGACCGGCAGGUUCAAAGGAUGCUCUCCACCCCCGGGGGGCCCUUGGCCCAUCCAGGUCGGGUCACCUGAGAGCCCCUCCCGCCGUACCUGGUUGGUGCUGCCUGGGUUCCCUCCCCUCUCCCCCCGGUUAAAAGGACGAGCACGCCAUGCACUUGGAGUUCUCCUGGAGCUCUUACUGCGUUCAGAGGCCAUGCGGCCCAGAAUAAAACCUCUGGAUUAACCCUCCAUGAGGACCGACUCCUUCUUCACCAUCGCCUUAAAAGGUUUCUCCAGCACAGGGAGGCCUGAGGAGUGACCCUCUUCCACCGACAAGCCCCAGCCGUAAGCACUGGAGCUCGGACUGGAGCUCGGGACAUGCCCGGACCUGUCCCCUCGUGCCCACCGGUGGCGUCUCUGGGGAGAAAAGACCACGGGUGCCGCUGUUGGGUUCAGCAGCAGGGACCAGACAAGCCAAGGCACUCCUGUUCAGUGAUACUGAAUGAAUACACAAAAGGAGAGGACAGGAAUAGGACACUAUCCCUUCCUUCCCAAAGGAACUGUGAGCAGCAGGUUGUUUGGCAGAUGAAGACACAACAAAUGAGAUUACCCCAGCUUACUCUGGAUUUAGUAUUACUGCUUGUGUGAUGGGGCUGUUUUGCCCAUGGUUGUAACUGGUGAAUGAGCUCCCUCUCCUUAUCUUGGCAUCCCCACUCCAGUGCUUUACAGAUUUAGUGCUGAUACUACUCUUCUACCUCCUCCCUGUCAAGCAGCACAAGUGGAAUGGGAAAUAGCCUGGACCAUCUAUUCACAACCUGAAGUCUGUACAAUAUGCAAUAGCAGCAUAUGAAUCCUGAAGUUCAACCAAAUAUGGAGUUUCAAAAAUUGUCUUUAUUGGCAAAGCCAUUUAUCACCAGACCUAAGAUUCAGCUAACAUGAAAGUACAGGUAAACUUCAUAUUUGACAAAAUUCACAGGCAUUGCAACAAGAAAACUGAGCUCAGUAUCUUCACAUUAUGAAAUUGUGUAAACUGCAAGUCUGACAUGAAGACAAGGAACCUUAAAAAUUAUCACAGUCAGGAAGGUUCAUUGAUUCUCUCUUUAGUAACAAUCUCCAUUUUUAAGAAGCCUAGUUAAGAAUUCCUUUGAUAAAUGCCUUUCAGUAACAAACACAAUGGAAACUACACUUUCACAGUUGUUCUUCACACAUGAUCUUCCCUGAAACGCUAUUAAAAGCUGAGGAAUGAGUUUUGAGAACAGUAGGAUACCAAACUAGACCUGAGUCAGUGAGAAAAAAAUCACACUCUCAAAAAUAUUAAGAUCUGAGAGUGCACCCCAUGUCCAGUAAUCUCAAACAACAAAACACUAGUGGCAAACUGCCAUUAUGAUUAAAUGAUGUCAGUGUGCUCCAAUAUUGUACUGCUUUUAUUACAGCCAUAUUUUACUUACAGUUUGUUGGUUGAUAUCAUCUUCUCCCAUAGGUUCAUCCACAAUUUGCUGUCCAUUCUGUAAAAAAAAAGACACAAAGUAAAAAUAAAUACUGAAUCCAAGUACAGAAAUAAAUAUAUUGGAGAUAGGCUUUCAUAUCAUAUUCCUGUACUCUCUUCUCCAUAUUCUACAAAAGCAGGUAAUUGAAAGUAAACAUGGAAAACUCCCUAUUGCUGACAUGUAAUGCCACUCCUGCUUUGAUCCUUGUGUAUUCUCAACCUGGAUGAAGUCACAAUAAGAAAUACAUAAAACCACCUGGCAUUUCAAGUCUCACUGCUACACAGCUAGACACUAUUUUCCAUUACUACAACCUCUGCAAAAUAGUUAAACCUGAUGAAGACUGAAUGGCAAAAAGCCACACAAAGGGGCUCUAAGAGCAUGACCUUACAUAUAGGUCUAUAGCACAGACUUAAAAAAAACAUUGAAUGCAAUUCUGAUUUUACUAUCAAUUUUACAGCAUUUACCACUUUCUAUACUUUCCCAAGGGCCAUUUUAACAAGCCAUACAGAAAAAGGCUUUUGAAUUUGAAAUUUAGACAUAAAGUUAAAAAAAAAAAAAUCUUAAAUACCUUGUUGGUCAACAAAGGCUUUCUUUUGCUUGACAGUGAUAAUAUACUUGGAGAAUUUCUAAGAAAUAUUUUUCCCUGAAAGACUUUGAAUGACUUUGCUUACACAACAAGCAUGACCAAUAGCAAGUUGUAAGUAAAAGUAUGUAUUUCCUAAGUUAUGGUACAGGGCAUCACCUCAGGCAUUAAUUCUUAGUUUGUGCCUAAAGUUUAACAGCAAUUCAGUAUCACAUUUCAGAAAGAAAUGAAAAAAUAUUAAAAAGGGUUACCAUUCUCCAUUACCAUUGGAGACAGAAUUUUAGCUCAUUUGUGCAUUGUUUCCCUAGAGAACUCAAAGUCUAAUUAAUCAAUUUUUUCAAAUCCUAAUUUACUUAAAAGUUACAUACACGUAUAGAUAGUUACCUUUUAGAUGUCAGAAAGUUAAUGAAAGCUGUUCAGAAAUUCAGAUUUCUGCUUAUACCCUCCUUCCCACUACUCAGUUUUUCAACAGAAUUCUUCAGAACCUUCCUAGUAAAAACUUCUGAUUAAUAGAACCUUCUACCUUGCAUAUGGCUACAGGAGAGUCUUUCCUAUGUGACAGAUUAAAUUCUAACCACUUACAAAUUCUGAUUUUCAAAUAUUGCAAGCACACUGAAUGGUCAAUCAGAUGAUUACCAGCUCUCUAGCAACUCUUCUCUUGUGCAUUUUUUUUUUCUGGAAGAUGGAGCUAGAAAAAGCUAAAUUAUAGGAGUUAUGGAUUUCCCCAAUAUGAC